GACGAACCUUGCUAACGUUAUUCGGAAUUACUGGGCUUAAAGGGUGCGUAGGCGGUGCAGAAAGUCGGGUGUGAAAUCCCCCAGCUCAACUGAGGAAUUGCGCCUGAAACUACUGUGCUCGAGGAAGACAGAGGUACGCGGAACUUAGGGUGGAGCGGUGAAAUGCGUUGAUAUCCUAAGGAACACCGGUGGCGAAAGCGGCGUACUGGGUCUUAUCUGACGCUGAGGCACGAAAGCUAGGGUAGCGAACGGGAUUAGAUACCCCGGUAGUCCUAGCCGUAAACGCUGAGCACUUGAUUGAAGGCUCCUCCAUAAGCUUUUAGUCGUAGCGAAAGUGUUAAGUGCUCCGCCUGGGGAGUAUGGUCGCAAGGCUGAAACUCAAAGAAAUUGACGGGGGCUCACACAAGCGGUGGAGGAUGUGGCUCAAUUCGAGGCUACGCGAAGAACCUUAUCCUAGUCUUGACAUGCUUGGAUUAACUGCUGGAAACAGCAGCCACGCCUUCGGGUGGAACAAGCACAGGUGCUGCAUGGCUGUCGUCAGCUCGUGUCGUGAGAUGUCGCGUUAAGUCGCUUAACGAGCGAAACCCUUGUCUCCAGUUGCCAGCGGGUCAUGCCGGGGACUCUGGAGAGACUGCCGGUGUUAAACCGGAGGAAGGUGGGGAUGACGUCAAGUCCUCAUGGCCUUUAUGACUAGGGCUGCACACGUCCUACAAUGGUACGCAUAAAGGGACGCAAACUCGUGAGAGCAAGCAAAUCCCAAAAAACGUGCCCCAGUUCGGAUUGCAGGCUGCAACCCGCCUGCAUGAAGCCGGAAUCGCUAGUAAUCGCGGAUCAGAAUGCCGCGGUGAAUGUGUUCCUGAGCCU
rnacentral:rRNA from 1 species